AACGUAGGAGACAAACGUUAUCCGGAGUUACUGGGCGUAAAGGGCGUGUAGGUGGUUUCGUAAGUCUGGCGUGAAAUUUUUCGGCUUAACCGGGAAAGGUCGUCGGAUACUGCGGAACUAGAGGACGGUAGAGGCGUGUGGAAUUCCUGGUGUAGCGGUGGAAUGCGCAGAUAUCAGGAGGAACACCAAUGGCGAAGGCAGCACUCUGGGACGUGACUGACGCUGAGACGCGAAAGCGUGGGGAGCAAACAGG
rnacentral:rRNA from 1 species